GGAAUCAGGAACAGAGGCACCGUCGCCGACGCCUCAUCGGACCGUCGGCGACGCCCUCUAGUUUUGUCCGUCGGGUGAGGGUCCGUAGACAGCAAAUUAGAGCGUCGGAGAAAACUGGUUUUGCAUGAGCAAUGGGUCGAAAACAAGAUCACCCGGGAGCGCGAAACGGCGAAAACAGGAAUCAGGAACAGAGGCACCGUCGCCGACGCCUCAUCGGACCGUCGGCGACGCCCUCUAGUUUUGUCCGUCGGGUGAGGGUCCGUAGACAGCAAAUUAGAGCGUCGGAGAAAACUGGUUUUGCAUGAGGCGUCGGCGACGGCCCUAGGGGGCGUCGGCGACGGCCUCUCAAAUGCUGGUUUUCAUGCUGUGUUGUUUUUAUCGUUCGAACACACGAAAACUCGCAUAACUUUUAACCCGAUUGUCCGUUUAACCUCCCGUUUCUUCCUACAUGCUUGUAAAUUCACAAUCUAUCAUAUAAACUUGAAAACCCAUACCCGGAUUAAGAAAAUUCUUAUCUUACGCACUAUCGACUCACUACCUUUUUACAAGUUUUGACCCGUUCUUGCAUUUAUUAGAAAUAAUCUGACUAUUUAACCUCGACUCCUCAUAAGCCUUUUAAUAUCAACAUUAUUUAUCAUAAAGGAUUGAAUUCUUGGAUGUCUUGCCUACUCUUAGCGCAUUAUCGCUCAAAAGCUUAUUUUGACCCGUUAUGGGUAUUUACGCAUUAAGUGGUUUAUGACAUACAAAACCAUACUCCACAUUUUCACACUAGACCAUAACCAUUACACUAAUCGAAUAGCUUCCUUAUAGUCUACUUUUAAGAUUGUUCGCCCAACAUACCCAUCAAGGGCGUUUUAAUCAACUUUAUUCCCAUUAUGUACAAUGAAAGACUUCAACACAUAAUUGACAUCAAACAUCAUGUCUAAUUAAAUAAAGCAUUGUAUUACUUAAACAAACUAAGAAGUGACUACGGAAAUCACUUACCUUGAGUACUCCAAUAAGUGUAUUUGUCACCUUGC
rnacentral:lncRNA from 1 species